rnacentral:rRNA from 1 species
GAUGAACGCUGGCGGCGUGCCUAAUACAUGCAAGUCGAGCGAACGGACGAGAAGCUUGCUUCUCUGAUGUUAGCGGCGGACGGGUGAGUAACACGUGGAUAACCUACCUAUAAGACUGGGAUAACUUCGGGAAGCCGGAGCUAAUACCGGAUAAUAUUUUGAACCGCAUGGUUCAAAAGUGAAAGACGGUCUUGCUGUCACUUAUAGAUGGAUCCGCGCUGCAUUAGCUAGUUGGUAAGGUAACGGCUUACCAAGGCAACGAUGCAUAGCCGACCUGAGAGGGUGAGCGGCCACACUGGAACUGAGACACGGUCCAGACUCCUACGGGAGGCAGCAGUAGGGAAUCUUCCGCAAUGGGCGAAAGCCUGACGGAGCAACGCCGCGUGAGUGAUGAAGGUCUUCGGAUCUUAAAACUCUGUUAUUAGGGAAGAACAUAUGUGUAAGUAACUGUGCACAUCUUGACGGUACCUAAUCAGAAAGCCACGGCUAACUACGUG